rnacentral:rRNA from 1 species
UACAGAGGGUGCAAGCGUUGUUCGGAAUUAUUGGGCGUAAAGCGCGUGUAGGCGGCUUUGCAAGUCGGGUGUGAAAGCCCUCAGCUCAACUGAGGAAGUGCGCCCGAAACUGCAGAGCUUGAAUACCGGGAGAGGAGUGGCGGAAUUCCCCAAGUAGAGGUGAAAUUCGUAGAUAUGGGGAGGAACACCGGUGGCGAAGGCGGCCAACUGGACGAACACUGACGCUGAGACACGAAAGCGUGGGGAGCAAACAGG